rnacentral:rRNA from 1 species
UACGUAGGGUGCGAGCGUUAAUCGGAAUUACUGGGCGUAAAGCGUGCGCAGGCGGCUUUGCAAGUCAGAUGUGAAAUCCCCGGGCUUAACCUGGGAACUGCAUUUGAAACUAGGUCGCUAGAGUGUAGCAGAGGGGGGUAGAAUUCCACGUGUAGCAGUGAAAUGCGUAGAGAUGUGGAGGAAUACCGAUGGCGAAGGCAGCCCCCUGGGUUAACACUGACGCUCAUGCACGAAAGCGUGGGGAGCAAACAGGAUUAGAAACCCCGGUAGU